rnacentral:lncRNA from 1 species
CGGUCCCUCGCCGCGCCGCCCCGAGGGGCACUUCCGGCGGCGGUUCACUUCCUGGUUGGGUGGAUGGAGCCGGGCGGGAGCGCGCGCGGGGGAGGGGCGGCGGGUCAGUCUCCGCCCGGCGCUCCCGGGAUCAGCUGGCGGGCGGGCGGGAGCCGAGCGCGGCCCCGGCUCUCGCUGCAGCGCCGCCUCUUCUCUGCGUCGCAGGCCGGCCCGGCGGCCGUGACAAUGUCGCGGGGCUGGUAGCAGGGCGCCGGCCGCCGAGCCGUCUCAAGUUUAAACUUACACGAAUCGCUUUCUGGAGGAGGAGGGGACCCGCUGCGCGAUUGACACGCAUAUUCCUAUAGGCAUCCUCCCUCAGCCCCCACCCCCACGGCCGGAUUCGGGUGGCUCCUCUCCGAGGUGAAAUCUGAGAAGAAAUCCUUGGAUCUCUUUUCUUAAAAAAAAAAAAAAAAA